rnacentral:rRNA from 1 species
UGAGUACGAGAUGCUACGGCAUUGAAGCAGUCUAUGUCAUACUUCCAAGAAAAGCUUGCACUGUCAUAAACAAAGAAUGCCUGUACCAUAACCGACACAGGUGGGUAGGUAGAGUAUACUAAGGGGCGCGAGAUAACUCUCUCUAAGGAACUCGGCAAAAUGACUCCGUAACUUCGGGAGAAGGAGUGCCUUAUUUUUAAGGUUGCAAUAACAAGAUCCAAGCAACUGUUUAUCAAAAACACAGGUCUCCGCUAAGUCGUAAGACGAUGUAUGGGGGCUGACGCCUGCCCAGUGCAGAAGGUUAAAGAAGUUGGUUAGCAUUCGCGAAGCUGAUAACUGAAGCCCUGGUGAACGGCGGCCGUAACAAUAACGGUCCUAAGGUAGCGAAAUUCCUUGUCGGGUAAGUUCCGACCCGCACGAAAGGCGUAAUGAUUUGGAUACUGUCUCGGAGAGGGACUCGGUGAAAUAGACUUGUCUGUGAAGAUGCGGACUACCUGCACCUGGACAGAAAGACCCUAUGAAGCUUUACUGUAACUUGAAAUUGAAAUUGGACUUUAGUUGCGCAGGAUAGGUGGGAGGCGUUGAGAAUAUUCUUGCGGGAGUAUUGGAGCCAUCAGUGAGAUACCACUCUUCUAAUGUUAGAUUUCUAACUUUGUAUCAUUAUCUGGUCAAAGAACAGUUUCAGGCGGGCAGUUUGACUGGGGCGGUCGCCUCCUAAAGGGUAACGGAGGCGCACAAAGGUUUCCUCUGAACGAGUAGAAAUCGUAUCCAGAGUGUAAAGGCAUAAGGAAGCUUGACCGUGAGACCUACAAGUCGAGCAGGGACGAAAGUCGGUCUUAGUGAUCUGACGGUGCUGAGUGGAAAGGCCGUCACUCAACGGAUAAAAGUUACUCUAAGGAUAACAGGCUGAUCUCCCCCAAGAGUUCACAUCGACGGGGAGGUUUGGCACCUCGAUGUCGGCUCAUCGCAUCCUGGGGCGGUAGUACGUCCCAAGGGUUGGGCUGUUCGCCCAUGAAAGCGGUACGCGAGCUGGGUUCAGAACGUCGUGAGACAGUUCGGUCCAUAUCCGGUGUAGGCGUUAGAAUAUUGAGAGGAGCCUUCUCUAGUACGAGAGGACCGAGAAGGACAUACCUCUAGUGUACCAGUUAUCGUGCCAACGGUAAACGCUGGGUAGCUAUGUAUGGAGUGGAUAACCGCUGAAAGCAUCUAAGUGGGAAGCCCACCUCAAGAUAAGUAUUCAC